GGGGGGCGACAUUUAUCCGCUGUGCCUUGACUAUGUCGCAUUUUUAUUGAAACAAUGCAUUUUAUAUUCAUUUUCGUGAUUUCAGUAUUUUCAAUCGAUUUAAUCCGAUUGUCUCGGAUAAUGUCGGAUUUCUUCAAUUUUCAUUCGCUAAUUUAUUUUCAGUGCAUUUUGUUCCAUGCGUUACACACGUUACACACGCACACACAUAAUCGUCAAACAAAUACUUAUAAAUCAAACGUCAAAACAAGUUCACUCUGUUUACGUUUACUCUGCGCGUACCAAAUUCUCGUCCAAAAUCUCGCAAUUAUUUCUGUUUAGUGCUAAAAGUGGCGAAAAUAUGGAUUAUUUUUGGAGAGUAUUGAGCAAAGUGGUCGGUCCGAUUCCAGUAAGUAUCAAGGUGAUACUGGAGCAGCUGCGAUACAUCCAUGGCGGCCUUGCCUACUUAAAUGAUGACGUUAUAAACGCGAUGGAGGAGGAAGUCAAACCGAGGGGGGUGACAAUUCAAGAUAAUUCCCGAUUUUAGACUUAAUCACAGCUUUUUCCCGAGUUUGAUGCGAAAUCCGACUAAUCCGAUGAUUAAUCAGUACAAAUCGGGCUGAAUGGUUCAUAUCUCCUUUAUCGUAAGAAUAUCCAUCCACAUCUUUAAUAAUAGAACUGACUUAUUCUGUCAUUAUGACAACUAGUACCACUGUCACGUAAGAGUGUGUUGUGCACGUUUUGCAUGUACGGGUUAGAAUUCAAAACAACAUUCCAAACUUUGGUUGCAUUUGUGUAUUUAAUAUUAGGAAAAAAUUUAUUUGAGACUUAGUUACUUAGUUAACUUAGUUACUCGCCAAUUACCAUGACAGCUAAAUACGUAUUCAUAAAUAUUUCAUAAAUAUAUUCAGGCCUGCAGCCAGAGACUGAAAACUGUGUUAUGUUCAAUAUUUAACAUGCAGCCAGCUUGUACCCUAUUACUCAAGGAAGCCAUCGAAUUGAGAAUGAUUGGAGCUCGAAACCAAAAAGUAUCAGCAUCAUCCUAUCUUGCAGGAUCGGAACAGAAAGCAAGGCGGUACCGUUUUGCGGGGUGUCAUUGGGCCAAAGUGGAGUGACAUUGGACUAUUUUAUACGUUUAGAAUACGACGGAAAUGCAUAUUGUGUGCUAAACUAUACUAUACUAGGAUACAUAAUUCUGAGAUACUUUGCAUCCACCGUCGUAUUCUCUGACUUAUAUUGAAUCCGUGUGAUCGGUGGACCAAUGUCACCCCGAACGACGGUACCUAGAGUGAUGUUCAUCAAAAAGGCUGGUCUUAUUAAUGCUGAUUGUCAGUGUAUCCAAAAAGUUAUUAGAUGUACUUGUCGUACGUUUAGUGUGCGAAGGGGAAUCAAAAGGAAUGAACAUACAUCUAAUCUCGUGAAACUAUGAUCAAGACGAGCAUCAAGGUGCAUCAAUGAAAUUGUAAAACAUAUCUCUAUAUGUGGCAAUAUGUGAUCACAAUGACACAAUUUGGGCGCAAUAAAAGUCGAGUAUUUGAAAAUAGAAACAUUGGGUAUUCUGUGAAUUGAGAAAAACAAAAAAAAGGAAAUGAUUCUAAAAAUGACCAUUUAUUGCACAACGUUAUGAUAAUCACGAAGCUACACUGAUCGCCUUCAUCAUCGGUAAAUGGAUCGCUGUCCUCAUACUUCAUUCGCUUUACAACUAGAUGCUGCAAUACGUAUGUCGGAGGUCCAUCCUCACAAGUACGCCUCACUUCCCGAUCGUUCUCGUUUGUCAGUACUGCAGCGACCGUCGAGGUUUGAGAACAUGAUUGCUGACUAAUUUCCAGGUAUUCGGUUUCAUAAGCUUCAGGUGUUGCCAUUACCGUCCAUGGAGUAUCUUCCGGAGUGGUUUCCAGAUGACUGUCACAUGGACGCUUCUUGGACUGCUGUGAGAUAAAAUCACCGGGAAUAUCGUAUUCGGCAUGCUUAACUCGAACAUGUGAAGAAAAGCUAGAUAUUUUCCAGCUGCCAGAUUUUUCCAUGCAAAUUCGCAAAAAGGACACUUUAGGACCGCCCUCGUGCCAGCUUCAUCAUGUCGACCUUCAUGGAUGCUAUUUGAUCGAAAAAGUAUGUUUCGGCGUUGCUUCCAUUGCUGCAUCUGAAAAUAAAAUAGCAAUACAUACAUCAAUGGUUAGUAGUAGAGUGGGUCAACGUUGUAUGAAAAAAAUAAAAUUCUAUCGCAUCAACCCGGAACAAAGCUUUUUACCGAAGACGGCUAAUAAUUAGCCGUCUUCGUUUUUACCCUUAUGGGUGGGUAUAAAAACCGACUUUCGAUCCGAAGCCUGCAGGCCCGAGUCUCAUAUACCAAUCAACUAAAAAUACUUACUUCUUUGUGUAAAAUUCGAUGACUUUCUGCCUCACCGAUUGCUCAGUCUGUUUUUCGGGGGCCGAUUCAGAUUUUCCAAGGAAGUCUUGUUUGAUUAGUUCCUUCGUGAAUUUGGAAAUGCCUUGCUUCUCAACUAUAUUGGAUAUCACCUUCAAUAAGCUCCGCUCUCCCAACACGAAGCGGAAGUUUUUCAAAGGCCCGUUGAAGCCAAUCAUCUUCUGCCAUUCACGAUCUAAUUUUCCGGUUGUUUCUGGAAGGUGUUUGACUUCCUCCUCCAUCGCGUUUAUAACGUCAUCAUUUAAGUAGGCAAGGCCGCCAUGGAUGUAUCGCAGCUGCUCCAGUAUCACCUUGAUACUUACUGGAAUCGGACCGACCACUUUGCUCAA